UGUCUUUAAUCGCAGUUUUACUUUUCAUGUACAUUUUGUUACAGAUUAAGGUAUUGGUUUUUGCUGUUGUUUAAUCGAUGUGAGUCUUUUUUUAAAAAAAAAUUCGUUAACAGGACCUUAAAAUUUCUCUUCUAUCUUUUCGUGAUUGUUUCAUUGCCCGAGUUGAGUUGUGUUGAGUGGUUAAGCAGUUCUGGUGCUGGCAGUAUUGUUUAGACAAACCUUAGCAAAUCCCAAGAACUCUGAAUAGAGUCGAUUUUAUGAUGACGGAUGACCUUUUGAUGAAGUCAUUCUGGGAGCCCAUCAAUGCAGUUUUCCUACCUUGCAGAUACCACCGUGCCCAACAUCUCUCUGUUCCCUGAGCUCUCAGCACAUCUGUCUUUCCAACAGGGUCAUUUGCUGUCUUGGUUGGUUUUACAGGACUCUUUUUCUGCUUGGCUUUGUCUACGGGAGGAUGGUUAGGGUUUGGCAUAUAGCAGACAAUGCAUUAGAAUGGGUGAAUUAAUGAAUGAAAUGAUUUCCUGAACACUAGAGCAUCUUUGAAGGUUUUUGACCAAGAGUAACAUCGUGAAAAUGUAUCUUCAAAAUUUUUACUUUCUGAUACUUUUUCAAAUGCCAUUGAUAUUGGGAUUUUAUUACUUGGUACAUUUUACUUGCAUACACGAGAAAGUGGGAAUUAUAAAAAGGGUAAUUUAACUCCAACUCUGGCUUUAGUUAGUUUUAUUUGUUUUAGUAUUUUAAAACUCUCAGUGUGAAAUUUUGUAAAGUGUGGUUAAAUGUGUAACUUUGCAUCAGCAUCACUUUAGUAAAUCUGUGGUUUUAUAUACUGGUUAUUAUUAUUUUUUUUUUAAAGUGGCUUUAUUUCACUGUUUAAGAAGUAAACUAGUUUUUACUUUCCUGAAGUCUAUUUGGCAAUGUUUGUGGAACAUUUCGUAUGUACCCUACUUCCACUGUUAGUAUGAAUAGAAAAGAAUGUUAGGAAGGACUGCUCUUAUAAUAACUUACUUUGGGUCUAGUAUACUGAGUUAUCAAAUUAUGAUUUAUUUUCUAAGCUCUUCUGAAUCCUGUGUCUACCAGUGGAUAUGCUCAAACCAGUAGAGAAUUUCUGCAGCGUGUUGUGAGUUGAAAUUCUUCCCAGAGUGACUUGCAUUGGAAUGUUUGGUUGAUUGCGGCAAGUCUGACUGGCUUUUCACCAUAAAUGGUGCAGUCGUGAGUUUUGAGAAAAUGGGCAAUGGAAAUUACAGCUAAUGCAUGGACUGCACCAACAGGGGUAAUUGCUUCCUUCCUUCCCCCUGUAAAUUUAGUACUUCUGAUAUUGCUAAAGUUGCUCCAAAUGCUUAACUCUCCUAAUGGUAGCCUAUCAAGUCAGUAAAAGCAGGGGAGGUGUAUAAUGGUGAUAAAAGGGUUUGAAAUGAGAACGUAUAACACAUGUGUCCCCAUUGGCCUAUUAUCUCUUACAGUGCUUUCCUGCGAAACCAUGGCAAUCUACAUGAAAAUUGUUCCCCAGAAUUGUCUGAAAUUCCCAAGUCGAACCCUUCCAUUUGAAAAUAAAAUUUUAGAUCACUUCCCCCUUUGAAGGAACAAUAGUCAAUUGUCAUCACCUCGUCAUCUAAUAUCUGAGCACACUCUACACAAUAUGCACUUAGCCCUGGGAGUUUUCUCUGAAAACACAAAGUCCUAAAUGGCUCCAGGCUUUACUCAUCCCUCUGUGUUCCUAAUUUGAAACACCACCUCAGAUAGCCCCUUCUCUGAUCAGAGGCAAUCAUCAUUCAGCUCUUCCUUACUUUUCCCCUCCAAUAGCCCUUUUCUUGCCUUCCAUCCUUUCUUACCUCUGAUACCCGUGUCUCUUUAUCUCCACACCACGGUCUACAAUUUCACUAACACUUCACCUUAUGUCAUAACUCCCUUUAAGCCUCAAGUACAACCUGACAUCAGCUUGUGCAACAGCUGAAUGUUGUUUCUCUGAUCAACAUGUUUUUUAAAAAACUUCCAGUAACGAUUUCAAACCUUCUCUUAUUUCCCAUGUCUUUUUUUUUUUUUUUUUUUUUUUUUUUUUUUUUUUUUCCUACAGAGGUCCCUGUCUCUUCCAUCCUAUCCUAAAUAAAGUGAAAGUCAUCAUAGAGACACUCAUUUUUCCUCAGGUAAAAUCAGCAAGCUACCUGUGUCUGCAGCCAUCCUUUCAGCUUUUCCCGCAGUUCCAUUAAGAGGGGUCCUGGCCAUAUUAUACCCAUCCCUUUCUUGGGGCUUUGUUUCCCGUAUCCCCAGCUCUCUCAGAACAUGUCCAUUUCAGUUUCUUUCUUCUCUUUUCCGUACCAAUUAUUUCAUCUCAAAGGGAUCACGGUAAUCAAGACUCAUACUCAAUCCUCCAUGAUAGAAUGCAUGACUGCUGUCAUCCCCUGCCUUUGAUCCUCUGAGCUCAGUGCAUAGCGUAACUCCAUGCCAGUUGCACAUAGAAACAUGAGUCAUUCAUAUGUUCUCUUCUCUCACUCCCUGAAUUCAGUCUGUUCCCACGUCUUGUUGAUAUUGCUUCCUAAAUGUCUUCAGACUGUCUUUCCACAUCACCUCGCAACACCCUCAUCUAGGCUGGCAUCACCUGCCACUAGAGAGAUUACAGAAGCCUCCUGAUUCGUCAGGACGAUUCUUCAAUAUGAAGCUGUGUUUAGCUUUUCAGAUUGUAAAUAUGACCUGUCACUCCUCUGCUGAAAACUCUUUAGUUACUUCAAAUCACAAACAAGAUAAAAAACCACCUCCUUUCUGCAGCCUGGUUAGAUGGACUGACCCCUGCCUGCUUUUGCAGCCCUAUCUUGCUCUCCCAGCUCCCUGUUUUCCAGCCACACCAGCCUUCUUUCUCUGUCCCAACAAAGAUAACCUGCUUCUUCCUCUUUGAUGGUGACAUCAAGUGUCUGGACUCUGGCGUUUUUGGAGAUCUGAACUCAGUGGCAUUCAAGGAUUGCAUUCAGAAUAAACCUCCAGCAGAAAGAGAGUUCUCUAGAAUUAUUGAAAUGAUUGAGAAGGGUAAAUGGACUCUAAGAGAGAGAUUAGUACACAUGAUUGUGAAGGAGGUGACAGAUACGUGGGGUGUUGGUAGCUCUCCUGGAACAGCCAGUUUCAGGUGGGGUUUGUGGUACAUGUUGUGCUGCCGGAGUUCUGGUAACCUCAGGCUGGUUUCUAGGAACCUCUGGGAUGCUGCCAAGAAGACCAGAAUUGCCCAUUUCUUAUGAUCAGUCCAGCCAAACUUUGGUGUGAUUGAGACAGAUGACCUCUGUGCUGAGUCACAGGUAGAGUCCUAUUGAUUAUUAAAGAAAAAUACGACUUUUUAUUUCUCAGCCUCGGGAAAUGAAUUAUAGCUAUUAGAAAUACUUUACAUCUCUAGCGUUUUAAGGUUUAUGAAACUAUUUUCAUCUGCUGCUUUGGUGGAUAUCUCAGCUGUAAAGGUGGGCACAACAGCCAUUCUUCAAAUUCCUCAUGUAUCGAUGAGGCAGCUCAAAGAAAAACUGUCACUUCAGCAUGACCCAUGAGUUUCAAAGCCAGAAUGAACAGCCGCAUCUCAUUCCUGUGCUGCUCCUCGUGGGGUCAGUAUAAAAGUCAACACUAUUCUGCUCACAGUGUGUACUAUUAACAUAUUAGUGAAGUGUGAUGACUUGGGAAAAUAACUGGCAGAUGACAUAGAGGAGUCAAUUUUCAGCUGUUUUUCACAAUACAGCCCUCUAUUCAGCAGUUAAAUUGACCUAUUUUUAGUUGUGUUUGGGAUGGAGCCCAGAGCAGCGCCGAACGGCAUCUACAUCCUUCUGCUUGGUGUUACUUGCCCUUAGUCAUUUGAAUGUUUGUGAUGUUACCUGACUCAGAAAAUACACAUUCUCAUGUUCUUCUACAGUGUUGGCUCGGCUGACCUUGAGUCCUACAGACUGUCAGGGUUUUCUAAAUUUUCUUUGAGAAUUAAAAAAAAAAACAACUAAAAUGUGUGGUUCUAUGUAUGUGUGUGUCUCCUGUAUUUCCCUUGUAAUGAAAAAUUUCUGAGUCAUGGGAAAGCUUCGUUUUUCCAUCCUCACCUCUCAGAAUGUAGGCACCAGUCAGGAAUAGACGUGAGUUACCACCCCGUCAGGCUCACUUUGUGACAGCAGGGAAGUCCAGGCCGGGGGUGUGAGUGGGGAUGAGUUAAUCAUUCAGUUUCUCUUCAGGAGCCAGGCUGGAAUCUGCUUCCAGAGAAGACAACCGGAUAUGCCUGCUGGCCACAUGAUCCCAGAGAGACUGACCUCAGGUCCGAUUUGACUCUGACUGUGCAUAUUUGUAGAGAAGAAGUGUAUCCUUGGAUGAGGUGAAAUUCCCUUUCAGUACAGACACUGUAGCCUGUCUGGUCCCAGCAGUCAGGCUUUUGCAUCCCUUGGGAAGAAGGAAAUAGGAGAAGGUCAUGGUGAUCCAGGAAGGUUCAAGGUCCUUCCUUGAAGCUAGGGGCUAGCAUAGCCCAAGUGUACAUCCAUGCAUAGCUUGGAAGAUUCCUGACCCAUCCUUGACAGUAUCAUGUACCUCUUUUCUGUUUGGAAUCCCGGCAGGAAACCGUGCAUGGUCUCCAACUUGCCUUAUUUUAACAGCCAGUGUUUAACAGUCUAGGAUUGAGUUAUUCAGUAUAAUUCCCCCCCUCCAUGUAUAGCAAAUAGUAUGUACAGAAUCUUAAUUACUUUAGAAAUAAUCUUAAUUACUGACAUAAGACAGGUUAUUAGUAAUUUUGGUGUGCUUUAAAUUCAAAUUCAUAUGAAGAGUCUGUUUCUCCUUAUACAAACUCAACUCUUGAGCUCUGAGGCUGCUUGCAGUGUCAACAUUUCUUUCUUUCCUUAUUUUUUUAACUUUUAGAGCUGUGAUUGGAAACACAAAAUAUCCUUAUCUUAACCUUUCUUUCCUCCCCCAGUAUGUUUUCUGUCAAACACAGAUGUCUUUUUUUUUUUUUGAAAUAUGUUGUCAGCUACCAAAAAAAUAGUGGUUGAAAAAAUUUACAGCCUUCCAUUCCUACCAAUUCAAAAUUGUGAUUUUUUUUAAUUGAAAAAAGUUUACAUGUCUCAUGAAAAUGUUGUGUUGGUGUCUACCUUAUUGCCAGUCUACAUACAAGGAACUGUGAUUGUCCCUGCCAUCAACAUCGGGGCCAUAAAUAUGCUUUUACUUUGUCAUCAGGGUUCUAGUCUUUGAGUAUUUUCUUGGCUGCAAUUUGAAAGAUAGUUGUUGGGAGUUCCCAUUGUGACUCAGUAGUCACGAAUCCAACUAGUAUCCAUGAGGACUCGGUUUUAAUCUCUGGCCUCGCUCAGUGGGUUAAGGAUCUGUCGUUGCCGUGGUGUAGGUUGCAGACUUGGCUUGGAUCUGUCAUUGCUGUGGCUGUGGCAUAGGCUGGCAGCUGCAGCUCCGAUUGGACCCCUAGCCUGGGAACCCCGUAUGUGGCAGGUGUGGUCCUGAGAGACAAGAGAAGAAAAGAAAGAAGAGAAGAAGAAAGAAAGAAAAGGAAGGAAGGAAGGAAAGAAAAAGAAAGAAAGAGAGAGAGAAAGAAAGAAAGUUGUCAAUGCUGGUGGCUUUUCAGUAUCUAGAGGAGUGAAUGAGUAUAAGUCUGUGUGUGUGAGGUGUAUGUGUGCAUGUGUGUAUCUGUGUGUGUGCGUGUUGAAGGGAUGGAGAAUCAGUGGUAGGUACUAGAAACUGUCUGGCUGCUGGGCCACACCCAGGCCAGUAUCUGUCUCUGGUGUUAUCUAUUUCUGUUGCAACUGUGUCUUUUUAGUUAAAAGUAAUGGUUCUGAUCUUAUUCAAGAUUUAGGUGACUGGGAUUGUGACUCUUCUGGCAAUUCACAGGAUGUUAAGUUCACAACAGGAGUGUUUUUUAAACAUGCUUUGUUCACUACUGUUUCUCCAGUGCCUGGAUCUGUAUCUGUCGGUACAUUAUAGGCAUUCAGUAAAUAACUUUUGAAAGAGUGAAUGAAUUGGUCUAAGAAGAGUGAGUCAGAUACUAAUACCCUUUGUAUUCAGCACACAAAUUGAUGUAGGUCAUUGUCUUCUAAAAUUUAAUUUCAGUGUGACAUUUUCAUAGGUAUAUCCUAAGUGUUAAUGAAAACUUUCCAUAUUAAACUUACUUGUUCAAAAAUUUCAGUGUCUGGAGUUCCCGCUGUGGUUAGAGGGGGCAGGAACCCCACAUAAGAGUUCCUGUCAUGGCUCAGCAGUUAAUGAACCUGACUAGUAUCCAUGAGGAUGCAGGUUCAAUCCCUGGCCUCGCUCAGUGAGUUAAGGAUCCAGCACUGCCAUGAGCUGUGGUGUAGGUCACAGAUGAGGCUCGAUCCUGUGUUGCUGGGGCUGUGAUGUAGGCUGGCAGCUACAGCUCUUAUUCAAUCCCUAUUCUGGGAACCUCCAUAUACCACAGGUACAGCCCCAAAAGGCCAAAAAAAAAAAAAAAAAAAAAAAA
rnacentral:lncRNA from 1 species